GUCGUCUCUAAUCAAGGGCACUGCUUCUAAUCGUCCUUUGGACAAUUCAUGUCAUCUGACCUCAAAUCAGGUAGGACUACCCGCUGAACUUAAGCAUAUCAAUAAGCGGAGGAAAAGAAACUAACAAGGAUUCCCCUAGUAACGGCGAGUGAAGCGGGAAGAGCUCAAAUUUGUAAUCUGGCGGCCUCUGGCCGUCCGAGUUGUAGUCUGGAGAAGUGUUUUCUGUGCCGGACCGUGUACAAGUCCCUUGGAACAGGGCGUCAUAGAGGGUGAGAAUCCCGUCUCUGACACGGACUACCGGUGCUUUGUGAUGCGCUCUCGAAGAGUCGAGUUGUUUGGGAAUGCAGCUCAAAAUGGGUGGUAAAUUCCAUCUAAAGCUAAAUAUUGGCGAAAGACCGAUAGCGAACAAGUACCGUGAGGGAAAGAUGAAAAGCACUUUGGAAAGAGAGUUAAACAGUACGUGAAAUUGUUGAAAGGGAAACGCUUGAAGUCAGUCGCGUCUGGUGGGACUCAGCCUUACUUCUGUAUGGUGCAUUUCCUAUUUGACGGGCCAGCAUCGAUUUCGGUCACUGGAGAAAGGUGGGGGGAACGUGGCACCCUCGGGUGUGUUAUAGCCCUCUAUCGUAUGCAGUGAUUGGGAUCGAGGAUCGCAGCACGCCUUAACGGUCGGGGUUCGCCCACGUAACGUGCUUAGGAUGCUGGCGUAAUGGCUUUAAGCGACCCGUCUUGAAACACGGACCAAGGAGUCUAACAUGCCUGCGAGUGUUUGGGUGUCAAACCCGGACGCGAAAUGAAAGUGAACAGUUGGGACCUCUGUCGUGGAGGGCACCGACGCCCGGACCAGACCUUCUGUGACGGUUCCGAGGUAGAGCAUGUAUGUUGGGACCCGAAAGAUGGUGAACUAUGCCUGAGUAGGGUGAAGCCAGAGGAAACUCUGGUGGAGGCUCGUAGCGAUUCUGACGUGCAAAUCGAUCGUCGAACUUGGGUAUAGGGGCGAAAGACUAAUCGAACCAUC
rnacentral:rRNA from 1 species